GCGGCGGCCCCGGCCCCCGCCUCACUCCCGGUGGAACCCGAAGGAGGUGGCGGUCCGGACGACUUGCUGCCGCUUCCGCUGUGGCUGGUGGCCGAGGGCAUCUUGAGACCCCAUGUGGUACUUGGGGUCACUGUAUCACUGAAGAAAUAGGAAAAUUAAAGGGUUUUCCCAGCAAACCAGUGGGAGAGCAGAAUAUAUUUUCCAGCGAGUGUCGACUUUGCAAAGGGGAGAGGUCUGCAAGCCCCACCCUAAUUCUCCGGCUUUGUGCAGUGUUUCUCGAAGGAAGCAAGCCCCCACUUUCAGAAUCACCUGGGGCACUUGUGAGAAUGAGCAUGACCAGACUCCACUCCAGAUAUCGCAUCUACAAACCAGAAUCUGAGACCUAGGAAUAUGUGUUUUAAAAAUCAAAUUCCUCUUUGCACAUUCAAGUUUGUGAAUAGAAAUGGGGCAUUUAUUUUCACAAAAAUAAGUGUCAUAAAUGUUUAAAUAAAAGUAGCUCUUUUCAUGA